CUCUUUCUCUCCCUCCUUAUUCGUAAAACCUAAAACCCUAGACAGAGCUUUUUCUCUCUCUCACGCUAUAAACUCGUUCGAUUUCUCUCUAUUCUGCACCGGGAGUUGGUAUAUGGAUGAUAAGGAUAAGGUUGAUCCAGUCGCCGGCGGAUUCACCUCCGACAAUACGUGGACCUUCCAAGGCGAUUACAGCUUUUUCGGAAACGAUGCUAGAGAAAGUAGCGUAUUGAAUGAGUUCGGAUGGAACUUCCAGCCUCCGCCAUCGGUGUUUGAUCGGAUCGAUUCUGACGUCGUCGGUAGCUCCGUGUCUUUGCCGGAGGUAAGCGUAGGUGUUAUCGCUAGUGAAGUUCAGGCUGGAUCUAUUGAUGAGGCAGGGGAUGUAUCGAUCUCAAAUCCGUUGGUUUCCACAAGUUCGUCAGAGGAUCGAAUGGAGUCUUCUACGGCUUCAGGUGACGCCGCCUUCGGUGGUAAACCUCCAUCGUCGGAGAGAGCGGGCAAGGCUAAAAAGAAGGGACCCAAAAGGAUCCGUCAGCCACGUUUUGCAUUCAUGACCAAGAGUGAAAUUGAUCAUCUUGAAGAUGGUUACAGAUGGAGAAAAUAUGGGCAGAAAGCUGUAAAAAAUAGCCCUUUUCCUAGGAGCUAUUACCGCUGCACAAAUAGCAAAUGCACGGUGAAGAAAAGAGUUGAGCGAUCAUCGGAAGAUCCUACAAUUGUAAUUACGACAUAUGAAGGCCAGCACUGUCAUCACACUGUAGGGUUCCCAAGAGGACUCAUAAAUCAUCAUGAAGCAGUCUAUGCAAGACAAUUGCCCCCUUCUUCAGCCCUACAGCCUGCCAACUAUUCUAGAGCUCAAUUCCCUAGUGAAAUGCAUGCCGUUGUUACCUCACAAUCACGGCCACAAUUAGUAUCAAGUGAAUCAGGAGAUCAUAUGUCCCAUAGACUACCUCAGUCAUCCUCUCAAGGGUCUCAGGUGGGUCAAGGGUUGCUUGGUGAUAUUGUUCCUCCCAGAAUGCGCAAUCAAUGAUGUAAAGUUGAUCCACAGGCUGCAACCUUUUUAUUGUAUCAACAAAAUGAGAAUACGGAACCAAAAUUCACGGGAUUACAAGAAGUUGGUGGUUGCAGGAGGCACUCAUAGUUAUCCCACCAAGACACCUGAAAACCUUUGAUGAAGAUGCACUCACUCAAAUGAUUUCAUAGGUGAGUCCACUAAAUUGCUUCCAUCUCUUUGUAGUUUGUACCAUGGCUGAUCCUUGAUCACAUUUGAGAUCAUUAAAUCUCAAAGACUUCUGUAUGUAUAUGUUGUAUCUAUAUUACAUUAUUUAGUUUAUCAUCAAUAUUA